rnacentral:rRNA from 1 species
GACGAACGCUGGCGGCGUGCUUAACACAUGCAAGUCGAACGGAAAGGCCCUGCUUUUGUGGGGUGCUCGAGUGGCGAACGGGUGAGUAACACGUGAGUAACCUGCCCUUGACUUUGGGAUAACUUCAGGAAACUGGGGCUAAUACCGGAUAGGAGCUCCUGCUGGAUGGUGGGGGUUGGAAAGUUUCGGCGGUUGGGGAUGGACUCGCGGCUUAUCAGCUUGUUGGUGGGGUAGUGGCUUACCAAGGCUUUGACGGGUAGCCGGCCUGAGAGGGUGACCGGCCACAUUGGGACUGAGAUACGGCCCAGACUCCUACGGGAGGCAGCAGUGGGGAAUAUUGCACAAUGGGCGGAAGCCUGAUGCAGCAACGCCGCGUGCGGGAUGACGGCCUUCGGGUUGUAAACCGCUUUCGCCUGUGACGCAGCGUGAGUGACGGUAAUGGGUAAAGAAGCACCGGCUAACUACGUG